UCAAACUUGGUCAUUUAGAGGAAGUAAAAGUCGUAACAAGGUCUCCGUUGGUGAACCAGCGGAGGGAUCAUUAUCGAGUUUACAACUCCCAAACCCUAUGUGAACAUACCUUACGUUGCUUCGGCGGGUACGCCCCAGGGCCUUCGGGCCCCGGAUCCAGGCGCCUGCCGGGGGAAACCAAACUCUUGUUUUUACCAUAGCAGUUUCUCUGAGUGGCAUAAGCAAAAAAUGAAUCAAAACUUUCAACAACGGAUCUCUUGGUUCUGGCAUCGAUGAAGAACGCAGC
rnacentral:misc_RNA from 1 species